GACGCACGCUGGCGGCGUGCUUAACACAUGCAAGUCGAGCGGCGCGGCGGACGGUUGAGUAACGCGUGAGUAACUGCCCCACUCUCUGGGAUAACAGUUGGAAACGGCUGCUAAUACCGGAUAGUGGGGGAUGACUCGCGUCCUAUCAGCUUGUUGGUGGGGUAGUUGCCUACCAACGCGACGACGGGUGGCCGGCCUGAGAGGGCGACAGGCCACAGUGGGUUGAGAGACGGUCCAAACUCCUACGGGGGGCAGCAGUGGGGGAUUUUGCACAAAAGGGGAAGCCUGCAGGCAGCGACGCCGCGUGCGGGAUGACGGCCUUCGGGUUGUAGACCGCUUUCAUCCAUGACGCGGUAGUGGCAGAAGAAGCACCGGCUAACUACGUGCCAGCAGCCGCGGUAAUUC
rnacentral:rRNA from 1 species